AUUGAACGCUGGCGGAAUGCUUUACACAUGCAAGUCGAACGGCAGCACGGGGCAACCUGGUGGCGAGUGGCGAACGGGUGAGUAAUACAUCGGAACGUGCCCAAUCGUGGGGAUAACGUAGCGAAGUUACGCUAAUACCGCAUACGAUCUACGGAUGAAAGCGGGGGAUCGCAAGACCUCGCGCGAAUGGAGCGGCCGAUGUCAGAUUAGGUAGUUGGUGGGGUAAAGGCUCACCAAGCCGACGAUCUGUAGCUGGCCUUAGAGGACGACCAGCCACACUGGGACUGAGACACGGCCCAGACUCCUACGGGAGGCAGCAGUGGGGAAUUUUGGACAAUGGGCGCAAGCCUGAUCCAGCCAUUCCGCGUGCAGGAUGAAGGCCUUCGGUUGUAAACUGCUUUGUACGGUAACGAAACGGUUCUCUCUAAUACAGGGGCUAAGUGACGGUACCGUAACGAAUAAGCACCGGCUAACUACGUGCCAGCAGCCGCGGUAA
rnacentral:rRNA from 1 species